rnacentral:pre_miRNA from 1 species
UUAUAAGUCACCUGGGGGUCUUGUUAAAAUGCAGAUCGUGGUUCAGCAGGUCUGAAGUGGGACUGAGUUCUACAUUUCUAAGAAGUGUACAGGAGUUGCCAGU